UUCUCUGAGCUCUCUUAGUUUUCAGGGGACUCUUGAGCCAAGCCAUAGACCCUUGCUGCAAUAUUCAGCAAUUGCACAUUCAGCAAUCUCAGUGGUCCGCAAGCAUAGGAUGGUUUCCAUAUUUUCCUUCAUAAGGAUCAAAGUGGAAUCUGGUCAUGAGGACAGGGACCAAUUCUUUCUUCCCACCCUCCUCCCCUUCCUUUACUUGCAAAUAUCUGAUAAAAACCUGUGUCAUCAACAAGGUAGGCAUGGGAACAGUAGAACUUGGAAGAUAAGGUAGAGGUCAGUUCUGAAUACCAUGAUGGGGCUCAAAAACUGCUUGGUGUCAUAUGGUCAUCUGUCAGCCGAAUGUUGUUCCAUGGAAAGAAUUUUAUUCUUCAGAUGUCAUCUAGAAUGCCUCAGGUUAAAAAGGAGAAAUCUAACAGCAUUCACAGAUUCUGCAUGUAAGGAAAUGAGGCAAGGCCAGGAUGGACCUAAGAACGCCAUGUUAUUCUUCUUGGCUUUGCCAGAACUUCAGAGAAAUGUUCACCUUUGGGUAUAUUGAUGGCAGCAGAAGGUCUUGGAUCAAACUCCCAGAUAUACUUCAUCUCAAACAUACCACAAUUUUAAAAUGACUAAAUGAAUUUCACAUAAAGACAGUAGUUUUAUUGAU